CACAGAUCCCAUAGGACCCACAGACCCCCAUCGGACCCCACAGCCCCCAUAGGACCCCACAGCCCCUAUAGAACCCCACAGCCCUAUAGGACCCACGGCCCCCAUAGACCCCACGGCCCUAUAGGCCCCACAGACCCCACAGACCCCAUAGGACCCACAGACCCCACAGACCCCAUAGGACCACACAGCCCCCACAGCCCUAUGGGGCCCACGGGUGGGACCCACAGACCCCACAGACCCCAAAGGACCCCACACCCCUAUAGGACCCCACAGAUCCCAUAGGACCCACAGACCCCCAUCGGACCCCACAGCCCCCAUAGGACCCCACAGCCCCUAUAGAACCCCACAGCCCCCAUAGGACCCCACGGCCCCCAUAGGACCCACAGACCCCACAGACCCCAUAGGACCCCACAGCCCCCAUCAGACCCCACAGCCCUAUAGGACCCACAGACCCCACAGCCCCCAAAGGACCCCACAUACCCCAUAGGACCCCACAGACCCCAAAGGACCCCACGGCCCUUUAGGCCCCACAGCCCCCAUUGGACCCCACGGCCCUAUAGGAUCCACAGACCCCAUAUGACCCCACGGCCCUAUAGGCCCCACAGACCCCACAGACCCCACAGCCCCCAUAAGACCCCACAGCCCCCAUAGGACCCCAUAGACCCCAUAGGCCCCACAGACCCCACAGCCCCCAUAGGACCCCACAGCCCCCAUAGGACUCCACAGCCCUAUAGGACCCACAGCCCCCAUAGGACCCACAGCCCCCACAGCCCCCAUAGGACCCCACAGUCCCCAUAGGACCCCAUAGGACCCCACAGCCCCCAUAGAACCCCACAGACCCCAUAGGACCCCAUGGCCCUAUAGGCCCCAAAGACCCCACAGACCCCAAAGGACUCCACAGCCCCCAUGGCCCUAUAGGACCCACAGACCCCACAGCCCCCAUAGGAGCUCACAGCCCUAUAGGCCCCACAGCCCCCAUAGAACCCCACAAACCCCAUAGGACCCCACAGCCCACAUAGGACCCCACAUCCCUAUAGGACCCACAGCCCCCAUUGGACCCCACGGCCCUAUAGGCCCCACAGACCCCACAGCCCCCAUAGGACCCCUUAGGACCCCACAGCCCCCACGGCCCUAUAGGCCCCACAGCCCCCAUUGGACCCCACAGCCCUAUAGGCCCCACAGACCCCACAGAUCCCAUAGGACCCACAGACCCCACAGCCCCCAUAGGACCCCACAGCCCCCAGAGGACCCCAUGGCCCUAUAGGCCCCAAAGACCCCACAGACCCCACAGACCCCAUAGGACCCCACGGCCCUAUAGGCCCCACAAACCCCACAGCCCCCACAGCUCUAUAGGCCCCACAGACCCCGCAGACCCCACAGCCCCCAUAGGACCCCACAGACCCCAUAGGACCCCACAGCCCUAUAGGACCCACAGACCCCACAGCCCCCAUAGGAGCUCACGGCCCUAUAGGCCCCACAGACCCCACAGCCCCCAUAGAACCCCACAGCCCCCAUAGAACCCCACAAACCCCAUAGGACCCCACAGCCCUAUAGGCCCCACAGCACCCAUAGGACCCCACGGCCCUAUAGGCCCCACAGACCCCACAGCCCCCAUAGGACCCCACAGCCCCCAUAGAACCCCACAAACCCCAUAGGACCCCACAGCCCUAUAGGCCCCACAGCACCCAUAGGACCCCACGGCCCUAUAGGCCCCACAGACCCCACAGCCCCCAUAGGACCCCACAGCCUCCACAGCCCCCACGGC
ensembl:lncRNA